CACAACCACCGCCAUUAUUUUAUUUUCAAGCUUAUUUAUAUCAUAUUGUAUCAUAAGCAAAUGUUCCGAUGCAACUAGGGAUAGGCAAUGGUUAUGCGGGCGGGUAACUACGGUUAUUUUACCCAUAACCGUUUAUGUUCAUACCCGCAUAAUCGUUUACCCGUUGGGUAAUUACAUAAAUGGUUAUACACAUAACCAUAACCGUUUAUAAACGGUUAUCCAUACCCAUAACCGUGUACCCAUUUAACCAUUUAACCAUAAUCAUAACCAUUUACCUGUUUACCUAUUUUUUCGCCCGUUUAUUCUUUUUUUACCCAUUUACCUUUUUUUUCGUCUGUCUACAUUAUUUUUUUUAACAAUUUGAAAAUUACAAAAGAAAAAUUUGUCAUAAUUUUUAUUUUCUGAUAAUUAAACACCGUUAUAAGUACAUUUUAGCAUACAUUUACUCGUGCUCGUAAGAAGCUGAUCAAGAAUCCAAGAAAGAAGUACAAGUUGAAGCACCAGAAGGCAGUGAAGAGUAGAAGAGGACAGGUAAGAGAGGUGAGGAAGCCCUUAGGUCCGUAUGGUGGAGAGGCCACCGGAAUCAAUGCAGGAAUCAGUCAGAGCACCAGAUUCAAGAACUAAAUGUUGCUCAUGAUUUCGUCAUUGUGUCCCAAUUUUGGUAAAGUGAGAAUUUCUUUUGAUAAAGUGACAUAAUUUUGAGUAACUUAAAUGAUGUCGCGAAAUGUACUUGUAUACAAUAUGCCUGCAUUAUAUGAGAAGUUUGUAUGAAUUGAAUGGAAUUGAAUGU